rnacentral:rRNA from 1 species
UACGUAGGGUGCAAGCGUUAAUCGGAAUUACUGGGCGUAAAGCGUGCGCAGGCGGUUUGGUAAGACAGAUGUGAAAUCCCCGGGCUCAACCUGGGAAUUGCAUUUGUGACUGCCCGACUAGAGUGUGUCAGAGGGGGGUAGAAUUCCACGUGUAGCAGUGAAAUGCGUAGAGAUGUGGAGGAAUACCGAUGGCGAAGGCAGCCCCCUGGGUUAACACUGACGCUCAUGCACGAAAGCGUGGGGAGCAAACAGG